GUCAACAGGGGACAAACUCUGCCAAGCUGCAGCUGAGCUGGAAGAGCUUGUUUGUAAAGUUAGCAGAGCCUGAUGGGGAAUCUGAGAAAGGAGAGCCCGUUUGCAAAGUUAGUUUGUUUGAAUUUCAGGUGUCUUGAAGUCUGGAGGCAGCAAUAUCCCAGAAGUCUAAGAUGUUACAUAUAAGGUGUUAGAGAUCCCUAGAAUUCAAGAGUAAGAAAGUUUCAACAGGAUUGCA